rnacentral:lncRNA from 1 species
GUUUGAUCCCAAACUCUUUCCUGUCUCCACCUCUAUUCUCUGCCUGCCUGAAACCAGAGAGGGUUAAAACAGGAAAGAAGAUGGAAUUGUUCCCUGGUCCUCUCUUUUAUCAGGUGCGGGAGUCCUGCCCCCAUCCCAGGCCUCAGGAAGAGAAAGAAGAACGAGACACAGUCAUACUCAUCUCAGCAGAGGUCAAGACAGCAGUCUGCAUCAAUAAUAGAAUAGCAUCUCAUUCUGCAGCCUCUGCCUUCUGGUUUGUUUUCCCAAGUACGAUGACUUUGCAGGCACACGGUUAAAAAGACUGGCCAACUGAUGCCUACUGGAAAGAAGGAAUGUUCUCCCCCAGGACAAAUUCUAUCUCAACCACAGAAUGCAAAAUGCUUCUCCUCCUGCUUUAAGAGUCUUAAAUGCUCUAAAUUCACUCCACCUCAAGCAAUAGAAAAAAACUACUGGCAGCCUUAAAAUAGUAGCUUGUCCCUGGUUCACACUCCAAGUAUUUUUAUGCACAUCAAUACAAGC